UCCAGGCUACAGUACUGCAGGUGUGA
rnacentral:piRNA from 1 species